GAAAAGAUGUUUUUAAAAAAAAAAACAGACAAGAAGUUUGUCAUUCAGUAGGGUUUAUUAAUUCAUUCAUUUGUUAACAUUGUUGCUUCAUUCAUUGUUGAAAAAUCAUAUUAUAAUUAUUAACUACCAAUCAGUUACCUUUAAUUCUCUCCCAUAAUUUGUCAUUAUUUGAACUUAAUUUAACUUAAACUUUAUUGUCAUAAUUUGAACUUUUGAUUACAGUCUCAAAUAAAUGCAAAAGCAAUCAUUUGGGAAAAGUUAAAUCAAUUACAAUAACAGAAAUGCUCUCAAAGAAUUAAAAAGAGGAUCAAGGGCCUUGAAAAUAUCCUGAACAUCCUUCUGAUGCAGCACUUCAUAGCGUUGUAAUGCUUGUUACUCUGGCUGUUACGUUGUAGUAUGAUGGAAGAUACGCUAUAUACUACAUUUUGAAAAAAAGAGAGAGAAAGUGAGAGAAAUAAAAUUCAGUCAGAAAUUAGAAAUUAGGGGGAACAUCUUAGUAAAUGAUCUAAAGGCAACUUUUAAAAAUUUCCUGCAUCAUGCAAGACAAUGAUUAUGUUCCAGUAAUGUUUUUAACAUGUGCUUGUCUACUCCUCAUGGUUUUAACCCUUUCACAUAUUUUGUUAGCGCAAGUUCAGAAUAUUGUAUAAUUCAGGAGCCAAACUUGCGCAGAUGGCUCAAAUGGUCAAUAUGAUCUAGGUUAACAAUACAAUAUUUACUUAAAAUCUUAAAAAAUACAAAAUGAUUAAAAAACUAAAUAAAGCAAAAAAAAUGCUAGCAAAGUCAUAAAAAGAGGAUCGAGGGCUUUGAAAUCCAGUUUUCAACCUAAAAUUUAGUUACUCAUGACUUUGGUAUUCAAAACAACAGAACAUUUGGAAAAAUUUCAAAGCUUCCUACCUGCUGCAAAAGCUGGUUGGCUAGAGUUAUAUUCAGCUGCAGAGUAGAUUUGAGCACAGCUCGCAGCCCGAUACGCACAGGGUUCACUGCUGGAAAUACAAUUCACUUUAAAUGUCUGUGGAUGGUUUCAUUUUAUUUAUUUAUUUGAGAAGUCAUAUGUAAGUAUUGUCACUCUGCUUUAUUAGCUACUUUGAUAGUGAUGGUGAAGCAUAUAUUCAUUUCAAACUGUUAGUAGCUCAGUAAGAUCAAGGAUAAAAUGAUUUGCCAAUGUGUACUGCAUGUGGUAGAGUUAAGAUUAUUAAUUACUGAUUUUCAACAUAUUUCAAGUGGAAUUUUAGUAAAUAACAAUUUCAUUGAAGUAUACACGUUUAGUACAAGCAAAGUAAUGUACACUGUACAGAAGUACACUAAAGCCCAGAUUUACUACAGGGUUACAUGUGUAAAAACAUGUGCAAACUUGAUAACAUGCUAACUAUCAUGCUCUAUACAGAAUUGCACCUUUCACAUGAGCAAAAUUUUGCAUGUUUGAUUUAAUGAAUGUGCUUUUUCUACCUAAAAGUUUGGGGAAACAGAGCUGUGUCAAUACAAACAGAUUUAUUUCAUAUCGAGAACGGUGAAUGUGUGCAAAUAAAUACAUCUAGAGCGCAUGUAUUAAACUUGCAAAUGUCUGUAUUAUAUAGUUCACAUGCACUCAUUAUUCGGGAUGGUGGCAAAACUAGGCUCAAGUACAUAUUUAGUUUACUCUUGAUAUAUUCUACUAGCUAUCCUACUAUAAGUUUCUGAGUAUAUAUUAUUACUUGUUAGUUUUUUAUGUGAGAUUUUAUGUUGAUUCCAUUCCUAUUCAACAGUGCUGUAGUAUAAAUGCCAAUAUGAUGUAUUUCAUUCACCUUCUUCCUCAUCAUUUCUGGAAUUUCUUUAAACUUGGGCACAGUGUGUUACUGGGUAAGACCAUUUAACCAAUUUUAUGCUGUUGAAAAUGUUCUAUUUAAAUGUUGAUUUGAUUGAACAGGGUAUGCCUUAAUAGGGCCUGGUUACGUCUAAUCCAGCUGAACCCCAUUAUGAAUACAGUUUCAUAGACUUGUGGAAUUUGUAACUACGGGUUCAAAUACAUUUUCACACAGGCCCAGUUGGUAUUGGAUAACUUUUUUACUUUUAAUAAAUAACAUUAUCAUUUAAAAACUAUAUUUCGUGUUUACUCAGGUUCCCUUUGUUUUAUCUUAGAUCGUAGUUGUUUUAUUUUCUGAAACAAUUUAGCAUGAGUUAUACACACAAAAAAAUAGAAGAAAUCAGGAUGGGGAAAAUACUUUUUCACAGCACUGUAUUCCUAAUGCACUUUAUAGUACACCAAAGCUCCCAAUAGAUUCCGAAGGAAUUGCAAAUUAUUGGUAGCUAUGAAAGAUUAAAGAUGAAAUGGUUACCGUAAGACACCGUACUAGGAGUGUUCCCUGAGGUGGUGAUUGAGGGUAAGGGGUAUAUAGCUGUGAAAAGUGCAACACAUUAUUUAAUAACAUAUACUCCACUCAAGUUUGUUUCAUUCAGAGUGAAUCAGAGAACUGGCUAAAAUGUGUGAUUUACUCAAAAGUUAUUACAGUACACCAAACUACCCUAUAUUUUCAAAUUAUUAGUAGCUCUGGAACAUAAAUUAUAAAAUGGUUACUUGAAGUUGUUGCAGUAUCAGGAGUGGUCGUGUUUAUCAUUGUGAGUGUUGUGCUCUCAGCUGUUGGAUGCAAGCAUUUUAAAAACAGACACACAAAAAAAAACCACAAAACUGUUAUUUAAAAAAAAAAUCCAAUAAAACGCAUUAUUUACAUAAUAAAUACAGAACAUGAACUUCAGUUACGUUUCAUGUAAUUUAGACAGAAUUUCAUUCUUAAGUCUUAAUUAGUAUGCAUAUAUUUAUAUGUAGAAUUUCAACAUAUUUAAGUUCCAAUUUAUGCCUCGACAUAAACAAAUUAGCAUGCACUAUUUGGAAUCUUAGUAAAUAAUGUAAUAAAUACAUAAAUCAUAGUAUAUUAUGUACUAGUACUUUAAGCAAAACUAGUUGCUGAGCAGGGGUGGAAAAUAGUUCUGUAAUUGUACUUCAUUACCAUAGUUGAGUAUUAUUUAUAUGUAUUUAUGCAUUUUCCACUGUUAAUGUGAUAUAGCAACCAAUAAAAUUAAAAUGAAAACAAAUUGAAAACCUGAAAACGGUUUUAGGGGGAAAAAGUUACAUUAACCUGGUUCCACACCCCUUAAUUAAUACUUUUUUAAAGCACCUUUUGCUUAUAAUACAGCACUCUUUUUUGAGUGAGUUAUUAUUAGUAGCUCUGGAAGAUAAAAGAUAAAAUAGUUACUUGUAUUAGUUGUUGUCAUAGUAAGUGUUGUAGCAUUAACAAGGGGAAGAGCUGUGGUUGUGGGUGCUGUUGUCUGAGCAAGCAUGUGUGUGGAUGUGUGGAUGCAAGCAUUUUAAAACAGAUGCAAAAAACAGACAUUAAUGUGAUUUUUUUUCAUAAAAAACAAAUUAUAUUCAAAAAUACAUGUCAGUUAAAUUUUACCUUACAGUAACCUAGUUGCAAACUGUGCACAACCAUUGACUAAUAAUUUUGCUUGUAAUACAGCGCUCAGUCUUUUUGGUUAAGAGUCUACUAACUUAGCACAUCUUGACAAUGUGUAUAACAUUUGCCAAUUUUAUUCCACUUUUCAUUGCAAAAAUGCUCCAGAUCUGUCAAACUGUGGGAGGAGUUCCUUUGCAGAGCCCUAUUCAAGUCAUUCCACAGAUUUUCUUUUUAUUAUAGGAUUUAGAUAUGGGCUCUGACUGGGCCAUUCCAAAAUAUUGAUCUUCUUCAUUAGAAGCCAUUCUUUUGUUGACUUGGAUUUGUGAUUUGGGCCGUUAUCAUGCUGGAAAGUGACAUUUUUCUUCAUAUUCAGCUGAUUAACCAAGGCCUGCACGUUUUGUGCCAAAAUAGAUUGGUAUUUGGAUCUAAUCAUGAUUUCCUCUUUGUUGACUAGAGCCCAGCUUCCAUCUAAAGAGAAGCAGUCCUAUAGCAUGAUACUGCCACCACCAUGCUUCACCAUGGCUAUGGUGUUCUUUGGGUGAUGAGCUUUCUUGUUUUGCACCAAACAUAUUUUUAGAGUUAUGCCCAAUAGAUUAUACCUCGGUCUCAUUAGACCAAAGGAGUCCAAUCUUAUGCGCAAAUGCCCGUUGUAGGUGCAGGUUUUCAUUCCAAUGAAGCAGAAGCCACACCUGUUCCCACCAGUUUAAUUAGUUGAUCUUCGCUUUCAAUAGUCUAUCAGGUGUGGCUUCUGUUUGUCUGGAAUGCAAACCUGCCCCCACACAGGCCCUUUCUGGAGAAGAUUGGACACCCUGGAAUGAUUUAAGUGGGCUUGGUAAAGUGCUUCUGCCCAGCCACCCUACCCAAUAGCCCAGAAGGUGGGGAAUACCACCUGGCAGAUUCCCUGAUAAGUUUUCUUCUUGUCCUUUCGUCUAUUGUGGAAUGAUAUCCUAUUCUUGGUGAAUUCAUUGUGGCGGCCCAUUUUCUCCACUUCUUGACGAUGGCCUUCACUGUGUUCUUUGGUAAAUCUAAUGUUUUGGAUAUUCAUUUGUACUCUUCUCCUGAUCGAUACCGUUCAACAAUGAGAGCUUUUUACAAUCUAUGGCUUCAGUGGUUGGAUGCAACCAAGAUGAUGUCAAGAAAAUCCUACAGAAACAGCUGAUCUAUACUUGUGGUUAAUCAGAAUCACUUCAUGGAUGACAGAACCGCUCCAACAAAAAGGAUUGAGAGCAACAUGUUUCUUGCUGAUGCAGUUAUUCCUGACUAAGGUAGGUGUGUGUGUGUGUGCAGUCUUUCUGUCAAUACCUGUAUAACUUGUCAGGAAGCAUUCUUAUGAGGCUUGUACUCAGAUGUCUUACCUGGUGACGUACAUUCCAGUUACAGUAAACUCCUCCCAUGGUUAAAGUAUUAUGCCACACAUGGAGACUUUUCUUUAAAAGCUGAAAGGAUAUGAACGGGUUAUAUAAUAAUUUAAUGAC
ensembl:lncRNA